ensembl:lncRNA
CUCUGGGGCCAACCUGAGCUCCCAGACACCUCUAUCGGAGGGCUGAGAUUCUGGCUCCGCCUUUCCUCAGGUGGGCCAGUCCCCAUUCUCGCUCUACUUCCCCUCUCUCUGGACCAUACCCAAACCACCCCCGCCACCCCUCUCCCGGGCCUCAUCUCACUCUCACCCGCGAGGUGCCCCGGCGCCGCAGGGCAGUGGCGGCCUGCAGGUGUGCAGCGCAGGUGAGGGGCUGGGACCACGUCGCCGCCCGCUCGCGGAGCUCGGGGCUAAGUGGCUCACCUGAGUGGAACUCGCCCCAGGCAGACAGUCGAAAACUGGCUGCUCGGAGCCCUGCCCCAGCUGGGCCCCUAGCAGGAACCCUCGCCCGAGCCAUGACGGGCUGGCCUCUUCUCUGCGCCCUGCUGCUGCCGCUGGCUUCGAAGUUGGAUGGCGUUGGAGGGAAUACCACUUCCAUAGCUACUACGAAGACUUCCAAUAUCAUCUUCUCCAGUACACCCCAAUCCACCAUCACCUCCUCCAAUGAAAGCUCCCACCCCACUUCCUCCACCCCCUCCCCCAAAACUUCCCACAGUGGUACCCCCUCCUCUACUGGCAGCUCCAACAGUGUCAGUACCUCCCACAGCGUUAUCCCCCCCACCAACAUCCCCUCCACCCCCUUCCCUAGUGUCACUCCCUUCUCCAAGGACUCUACCUACCAUACCUCCCAUACCAGUUACCCCACCUCCUCCCACAGUGGCUCGCCUUCCUCCACCACCUCCCACAGCCACUCUACCUCUCACAAUAGCAGGCCCUUCUCUCCAACCCCCCCUGAGGGCUCCUCCCCAAGCUCAAGCAUCUCCUCCAGAGCUCCGACAGCUGCUGCCAAUAGGACCCUCUCAACAACCAAGCUGCGGAUCAGUGCCAGUGCAGGUGAGAGCCCCAGGAGUUAGGCUAAGGCCUGAGAGGCUGCUCAUCCUCUGGGAGCACCCCAGGAGGAACUGCUGCCUUGUGGGAACUCGUUCAGGUAUCAGUAGUUGGAAUAGAAAGAAAUGAGCUCUUCUAGGAAGGAUGGGGACCAAAGGAGAGAUGAGAGAUGAAGGUCCCCACCAGGAUCAAAGGACCCUGCAGGGGCAAUAGCAGUGGGGGAUGGGGGAGGGGAAAUAGUGGCUGGGGGAAGGGGAGAGCCUAACUGGGAGUUUACCUCCCCAAUCCCACCAGGAGUGAACCAGCGUAAUCCUGGUGUGGUCAUUGUGGUCUGCCUGCUCGUAUCCAUUCUGGUCCUGGGCUCCGUGGUGGUAGCUGUGAAAUGCUGCCAGAAGGACAUGAGAAGCUUUCAGAAGAUGGAUGAGGUGCCCAUGGUCUGUGCCUCUGAGGAAAGAUCACCCUGAUUCCUGCCUGCUGAGCCUUCCUGCCUCCCUUUCUUCAUCUCCUUUCUCACCUUCCCUCUGUUUUUAGUCUACCUUCUCUCCCUCUUCCUUUCUCUCUCCCUCUUUCCUUCCCUCUCUCAUUCUUUCCUUCCUUUCUUUCCCUCUUCUGUCUUCCUAUUACUUUCUCUGCCCCCCUCCUGUUCUCUCUGCUUCUUCCUCUUCCCUUCCUUGUCUCUUCUCUGCCUUUUGUUUUUGCCCUCCUUCCUUCCCCACAUUUUGCCCUACCCUACCAUCACCAGCUCAUCCUGGGGGAAGUGCCAGAGGGGCAGGUUGAGACUGGCUGACCUAGGGCAUUGAUGGCUCCAAGGAACCCCCCAAACAGUUCUCUCUGCCUUCCCCUCACCCCAAGGAUGCAGCUAUGACCUGAAUACCUCUUUUUUUUUUUCCAGGAAACUGUUCGAGAAGAGGCACCUUUUGCUAGAUUCCCCCCUCAGUGACCACAGAGGGCAGUGGGAGGUGGAGAGGUGGGUUCUGAGGGGCUUUGGGAACAGCUCCUGCUCAUCUGUGUCAUCUCCUUCCUCCCAGAUGGAUACUGGUGUCUGUCACUGAAUAAAACAAAGAACGAAAUGAGACU